UCUCACUGUCAUUUUCUUUAUCCAUCAUGUUCUUCUGUGCUUUUCUGAUUCCUUCAGUGCUGACAGGUGUCUCUUCUGAAGACUUGAUAACAUCUCAUGGGUCUGUUAAACAAGCCAGAGAUGGUGAGAGUGUUACUCUCUCCUGCAACUACAAUGUUUCUCAAUAUGGCCUGUUUUGGUAUCGUCAGUAUUCCAGAUCCAAACCAGAAUUCCUCCUCUCCACCACUGAAUCUGGAGGAACUGUUAAAGCUGAUCCAGCUGCACAGUUUUCUGCUACAGUUGAUAAAAUUCAGAACAGCAAAGUUCUGAACCUGGUGAUCUCCUCUGCUGCAGUAUCAGACUCUGCACUCUACUACUGUAUCAAAUGA